AUUGAACGCUGGCGGCAUGCUUUACACAUGCAAGUCGAACGGUAACAGGCCGCCAGGUGCUGACGAGUGGCGAACGGGUGAGUAAUGCAUCGGAACGUGCCCAGUCGUGGGGGAUAACUACUCGAAAGAGUAGCUAAUACCGCAUACGAUCGAUGGAUGAAAGCGGGGGACCGUAAGGCCUCGCGCGAUUGGAUCGGCCGAUGUCAGAUUAGUUAGUUGGUGGGGUAAAGGCUCACCAAGCCAACGAUCUGUAGCUGGUCUGAGAGGACGACCAGCCACACUGGGACUGAGACACGGCCCAUACUCCUACGGGAGGCAGCAGUGGGGAAUUUUGGACAAUGGGCGCAAGCCUGGUCCAGCAAUGCCGCGUGCAGGAAGAAGGCCUUCGGGUUGUAAACUGCUUUUGUACGGAACGAAACGGCUCUGGUUAAUACCCGGGGCUAAUGACGGUACCGUAAGAAUAAGCACCGGCUAACUACGUG
rnacentral:rRNA from 1 species